rnacentral:rRNA from 1 species
GUAAGCUACUAAGAGCGAAUGGUGGAUGCCUUGACUGGUAAAGGCGAUGAAGGACGUACUAGACUGCGAUAAGCUACGGGGAGCUGUCAAGAAGCUUUGAUCCGUAGAUUUCCGAAUGGGGCAACCCAAUGUAUAGAGAUAUACAUUACCUAUAUAGGAGCGAACGAGGGGAAUUGAAACAUCUUAGUACCCUCAGGAAAAGAAAUCAAUAGAGAUUGCGUCAGUAGCGGCGAGCGAAAGCGCAAGAGGGCAAACCCAGUGCUUGCACUGGGGGUUGUAGGACUGCAAUGUGCAAGAGCUGAGUUUAGCAGAACAUUCUGGAAAGUAUAGCCAUAGAGGGUGAUAGUCCCGUAUGCGAAAAACAAGCUUAGCUAGCAGUAUCCUGAGUAGGGCGGGACACGAGGAAUCCUGUCUGAAUCCGGGUCGACACGAUCCAACCCUAAAUACUAAUACCAGAUCGAUAGUGCACAAGUACCGUGAGGGAAAGGUGAAAAGAACUGAGGUGAUCAGAGUGAAAUAGAACCUAAACCAUUUGCUUACAAUCAUUCAGAGCACUAUGUAGCAAUACAGUGUGAUGGACUGCCUUUUGCAUAAUGAGCCUGCGAGUUGUGGUGUCUGGCAAGGUUAAGCAAACGCGAAGCCGUAGCGAAAGCGAGUCUGAAUAGGGCGCUUAGUCAGAUGCUGCAGACCCGAAACGAAGUGAUCUAUCCAUGAGCAAGUUGAAGCUAGUGUAAGAACUAGUGGAGGACUGAACCCAUAGGCGUUGAAAAGCCCCGGGAUGACUUGUGGAUAGGGGUGAAAGGCCAAUCAAACUUCGUGAUAGCUGGUUCUCUCCGAAAUAUAUUUAGGUAUAGCGUUGUGUCGUAAUAUAAGGGGGUAGAGCACUGAAUGGGCUAGGGCAUACACCAAUGUACCAAACCCUAUCAAACUCCGAAUACCUUAUAUGUAAUCACAGCAGUCAGGCGGCGAGUGAUAAAAUCCGUCGUCAAGAGGGAAACAACCCAGACUACCAGCUAAGGUCCCUAAAUCUUACUUAAGUGGAAAACGAUGUGAAGUUACUUAAACAACCAGGAGGUUGGCUUAGAAGCAGCCAUCCUUUAAAGAAAGCGUAAUAGCUCACUGGUCUAGUGAUUUUGCGCGGAAAAUAUAACGGGGCUAAAGUAAGUACCGAAGCUGUAGACUUAGUUUACUAAGUGGUAGGAGAGCGUUCUAUUUGCGUCGAAGGUAUACCGGUAAGGAGUGCUGGAGCGAAUAGAAGUGAGCAUGCAGGCAUGAGUAGCGAUAAUUAAUGUGAGAAUCAUUAACGCCGUAAACCCAAGGUUUCCUACGCGAUGCUCGUCAUCGUAGGGUUAGUCGGGUCCUAAGUCGAGUCCGAAAGGGGUAGACGAUGGCAAAUUGGUUAAUAUUCCAAUACCAACAUUAGUGUGCGAUGGAAGGACGCUUAGGGCUAAGGGGGCUAGCGGAUGGAAGUGCUAGUCUAAGGUCGUAGGAGGUUAUACAGGCAAAUCCGUAUAACAAUACUCCGAGAACUGAAAGGCUUUUUGAAGUCUUCGGAUGGAUAGAAGAACCCCUGAUGCCGUCGAGCCAAGAAAAGUUUCUAAGUUUAGCUAAUGUUGCCCGUACCGUAAACCGACACAGGUGGGUGGGAUGAGUAUUCUAAGGCGCGUGGAAGAACUCUCUUUAAGGAACUCUGCAAAAUAGCACCGUAUCUUCGGUAUAAGGUGUGGUUAGCUUUGUAUUAGGAUUUACUCUGAAAGCAAGGAAACUUACAACAAAGAGUCCCUCCCGACUGUUUACCAAAAACACAGCACUCUGCUAACUCGUAAGAGGAUGUAUAGGGUGUGACGCCUGCCCGGUGCUCGAAGGUUAAUUGAUGGGGUUAGCAUUAGCGAAGCUCUUGAUCGAAGCCCGAGUAAACGGCGGCCGUAACUAUAACGGUCCUAAGGUAGCGAAAUUCCUUGUCGGUUAAAUACCGACCUGCAUGAAUGGCGUAACGAGAUGGGAGCUGUCUCAAAGAGGGAUCCAGUGAAAUUGUAGUGGAGGUGAAAAUUCCUCCUACCCGCGGCAAGACGGAAAGACCCCGUGGACCUUUACUACAGCUUGACACUGCUACUUGGAUAAGAAUGUGCAGGAUAGGUGGGAGGCUUUGAGUAUAUGACGCCAGUUGUAUAUGAGCCAUUGUUGAGAUACCACUCUUUCUUAUUUGGGUAGCUAACCAGCUUGAGUUAUCCUCAAGUGGGACAAUGUCUGGUGGGUAGUUUGACUGGGGCGGUCGCCUCCCAAAUAAUAACGGAGGCUUACAAAGGUUGGCUCAGAACGGUUGGAAAUCGUUCGUAGAGUAUAAAGGUAUAAGCCAGCUUAACUGCAAGACAUACAAGUCAAGCAGAGACGAAAGUCGGUCUUAGUGAUCCGGUGGUUCUGUGUGGAAGGGCCAUCGCUCAAAGGAUAAAAGGUACCCCGGGGAUAACAGGCUGAUCUCCCCCAAGAGCUCACAUCGACGGGGAGGUUUGGCACCUCGAUGUCGGCUCAUCGCAUCCUGGGGCUGGAGCAGGUCCCAAGGGUAUGGCUGUUCGCCAUUUAAAGCGGUACGCGAGCUGGGUUCAGAACGUCGUGAGACAGUUCGGUCCCUAUCUGCCGUGGGCGUAAGAAGAUUGAAGAGAUUUGACCCUAGUACGAGAGGACCGGGUUGAACAAACCACUGGUGUAGCUGUUGUUCUGCCAAGAGCAUCGCAGCGUAGCUAAGUUUGGAAAGGAUAAACGCUGAAAGCAUCUAAGCGUGAAGCCAACUCUAAGAUGAAUCUUCUCUAAGCUCUCUAGAAGACUACUAGUUUGAUAGGCUGGGUGUGUAAUGGAUGAAAGUCCUUUAGCUGACCAGUACUAAUAGAGCGUUUGGCUUAUCUUU